AAACGUCAAUGACCAGUUUAUUGCUCAAUUGGGAUAACAUUGCCUUUGGUCCAACACUAGCUAACUCAUGGUGCUACUUGGGACCUGCUAAGUAAUGUGCUACUUCUUGACGGCAAGCAUGGGUGAAUGCUGAGAGCGACGCCGUGCGGAUGCUCGCAGGAGGGCGAUAGAUCCUGCUCGCAAAUGCGGAGAGGACGGAAUUCUGUCCAUCAAAUCUUCUACUUUUAUUUUCUUUUUCUGUUUGAGAGAAGGCUAGGAGAGAGCACCCGUUGCAGCGACGAUUGAUUGUCAGAGGACGGGGAAAUCUCCUGCUUCUGGAAAUAGCCAGUCAUCUACUCGUGAGUAGUGUGCGGAUGGUCGUUGCGGAGCAGGAGGAGAGCAUCUGUCGGAGAUGGCGCAGAGGUAGGAGCAUGGGCGCAGGCAACGGUUGGUUCCGUUUGAGUGGCCCAAGUGGAGCUGAGCGACAAUUUGGGGGAAAGAGGGAUUGUACGGAAAGCCAGGCUGGCCAGAGGACGAAGCUAAUCCAACUGCCUCGUCGAACAACGGCGCGUCCCACUUGGGUUUCCGGACAAGCGGUACACGCCUUCCAUUCCUGGCCAACCGCCUCACUUGCGCUUUGCUUCACCGUAAGCGCUCCGAAGCUGGCACCGAACCCCACCCUCAUGGGCUUUUUGGGGAGAAGAGAGUAAGAUUAGUGGCUUUCAGGCCCGCCCUCGUCCGGGGUGAUCUGCAGAUUCUGCUAUCAAUGUCAACUCUCACAACUGCAUUGUUCUUAAAUCAAUCGAUACACACUUGAAAAUGUCGGGAAUAUUCACUUCAGCUUCCCCAGUUUUAGGGGCUUCAGAAGGAAACCCUAAGACAGAGGAGUCCUGAGGAAUCUUUAUAAAGGCAGAAGGCAGUUGAAAGGUUGUUAAAAUAAAUUAAAAAACAACUCUGAAGAAGGCGUGCAAGCUGACUAGGACCUCUCUAGAACCAAUAAAAUUGAUCUCCUUCCUGAGUUGUCUGUUUCACACAAGCAGGUAUGGCCAAUCAGACCCACUCCAUGAUUGAGCUUCUUCCACAACUUUUAGUUUCGAGCAUUCGAUUUUUUUUAUAAAGCGGGCAACAUGUGAAUGAGCAAUCUGAAGAACGGUAUUCUACUUACUAUUCAGGUUUCUUUGUAGGCAGCUGUGCUGUUUGUACCAGAAAGUUUCAAACAUGAAUGUCAUGCACCAUUAAAUAUGAGCUGGAAAAAGGGUGAAGAUGGGUGGGUGAAGGAAAGAGGGGUGUUAUUAUUUCAUGCAGGCAGUCACCAAAGGAGAAUUUUUUAAUUUGUGGCAGGCGGCUAAAUAAUAGCCUCUCUCUCUCUCUUCUCUCUCCUAUCCAGAGGAUAUAGUAGAGUUUGAUUGGCUUGUUAGCUUGGGGAGGAUAACAUUCUUCCAAGUGCUGCACACCAAUCUGCCAGUACUCCCCAACUGUUUACAUUUUCGGUGUUGGUGAAACUAGAAUUCACCACACAAAGACUGGGCCAAUUGUGUCCACAUCUUUAUAUAUUUGCUCUAUGUUUAUGUUC